rnacentral:rRNA from 1 species
UACGAAGGGGCUAGCGUUGUUCGGAAUUACUGGGCGUAAAGGGCGCGUAGGCGGUCCUGAUCGUCGGAUGUGAAAGGCCUGGGCUCAACCUGGGAACUGCAUCCGAUACGGCGGGACUGGAGUGUGGGAGAGGUUGGUGGAAUUCCCAGUGUAGAGGUGAAAUUCGUAGAUAUUGGGAAGAACACCGGUGGCGAAGGCGGCCAACUGGACCACAACUGACGCUGAGGCGCGAAAGCGUGGGAGCAACAGG